UGCUUUUUAAGUGCUGCAUUCAUUCUGAUCUGCCUAUGUACAUAUUCUAUGACAAGCAAAAUCUCACCUGGAGUUAAGUGUCCAAUUUAGGACAUCUCUUUGAUUCUAUUCACAUGUUUCAUUAAUAUCUGUAAUAGAGAAAGUCUUACAAAUUCAUGUCAAAGGCAGUUAUUGUGCUGAAAACCAGGAGCCAGUUUGAAGUACUGGAGUGUCAGCAAAAUAUCCUAGGUGACCUCUUAGUUUUUUGUUUUGUUUUGUUUUGUUUUCCAUGCAUAUUUUCCUGCUCUCUAUUAAUAAUUCCUCAUUUCUUUAAUACUUCAAUUAUUUUUGUUUUUAAAAAAAUGUUCCUCUCAUUUCCACAAGAAGUCUGCUCCUUCUUUCAUCUCACAGAAUACUAUUAUUUUACUCAUAAAUUUUGCUGUUUUCUAAGAACUGUUGUCUGAUUUUUUUUUUUCUCCAGAGUCUCACCUUCUUCUUCUAUGAUGUUCCUUCCUAAUCCUGCCCUGCAAUUCAUUUUGCAUUGCCUGUCGAGUUGCAAUGGAAUUCCCAUGAUGUUUUCACUGACUGCCUGGGCAGCAUCCAUCAGAGAAAUGGAGCAAGGAUAUGUUUCUACAGAAUAAAGCGGUCUGAAAUGCCCUGCUGUCACAGCACAAAACCAAGAGCACCUCUUCAUCUUCCCUCCGGCCAACGAAAGGGGACAGGAUUUUCAGUGAAACCCAGAUGUUGCUGUGAGUAUAUGUGUGCAUUUAUUAACAGAUAAUAGUGGAGGACUGCAAUUUAUAUCUGCAGAAGCUGAAAUAAUUAAGGAGGGUUGGGUAUUAAUGGAUGUAUGUUUUGAACAAUCUCAAAAACUUCUUUGUGUGGAAAAUUAAGAUCCUUGCUGAUAUUGAAAUAUCUCAGAUUGUUGUAAACCCAUGUUUCUAAUAUUUUAACUGGGAAUCACUUUCAUGGUCCGGCACUGCUGAUGCUGCCCCUUCAGAAGCCAGAAAAUGUCAGAUAUCUCAGUAUUUUCAGGAUUGUUUUGUUCCCAUUCAGCCUGACAGACAAAAAGGAGGGUUCUGAGGGAAGCUCUUAUUUCCUCCCUUCCCAUCUCCCUUUGCUCUUGCAAUAGCACCAUUGUACAGCACCGUUAUGCCAAAUUUUUUACAUAGAGACAGACUCGCCUGUCCCACAUUGUCAUUUCGACACUGUUUUUAACAAAGAUGUAUUUUCUGAGGAUCAUGUUUGAGAAUAAAUGGCUUUGGGUCUAGCACUAGUAAAAGAAGAAAAGCAAAUCCAAAGAACCCACUCAUUGAGUUCAGAGUAGCUACAGGGCAAUGCUGCAUCUUGCUUUUUAGGUGAAAUCUGCAAUUUUGUUUAUCCAGAGCAAUCUGUAACAGCUCUAUGGUAAAGCUGCUUUGAGGUUUAGUUUUGAAGUUUACUGCUCCCAGUUUUCAUUUAUUCCGUCAUAAUACAUGCAUAAAACAUUUUUAUUAUGUGGAUAGUAAUUUGCAUGAGCACAAGGACUUUAGCUCAAAUGCUCAUGAACAAGACUGUUCUUCAGUCGGGUCAACUGGAAGUUAUUCUGCUUUACUACAGGGCUUUCAGUUAAUUAAAUUCAAAGAACCUGUUCAACUGCUAAGGCCUGUUAUAGUCCAGAUAAGAAAAAAAAUACAUUUUUUCAUCAGUCUCUGGGGACAGACACUGCUGAUGCUCCUCCUGCUGUAGCCACAAUACAGUGGGCCACAAUACAAGUGAAAAGGAGGAAGAAUGUCCUGCCCAAAGUAUUUCAGUGGGACAUACACGUCUGUGACGAACACAGAAAGGACUAUUCAGAUGCAUUUUGUUAUAUGGAAUGAACUACAUUUCUGAUCUUCUAAUGCAAUGAAUAUUGUGCUCUGCAAGUAAUGUAAUUAACACAGGAAAAAGAGGAGUGAACUGCAUUUACAGUAGAAGUGAACUUUACCUAAAAUUAUCAUUUCAGAAAAUUGACUGUUCUUCUAACUGUUGGUAAUUAUUUUUUCCUUUUUUUUCUUGAGUUCCUCUUUAUUUGGAUAGGUAAUAAAAUUAGUUUUGAUCCUGCACACUGAAGGAGAAACCCUAGUGGCCACAUUCUGACUCUACUUGAACUAGUGUAGGAACUCAUACGGAAAAUUAAGUGAAAAUCAAUUAACAGUUGCCCCGGGCAUUUGAAACAAAUGCCAGGAAUCCCUAAAUGUUUCUCAGUUCUGUAUAAAUCAUAGCUGACAAGUGGUGGUAUCUCUGCUUCCACUGAAAAUUUGCUUUGUUACAGUAAAAAUUCUUUUAUUAUAUAUAGUUGCUGAUGUACAUAUAUAUAUGUAUUAACCGUCUACAUUUUCUCAUGUGCAUCUUCCAUAAAUCUCCUUUUGAGUCUCUUCCAAAGAAACUAACCUAUGCUUUUGAAGAAAAGAUGACUACCUGGUUGAAGAAAAGGAGUAAUGGAGAACACAUUCUUCAAGACAGAAAUCUUCCAGACUUCUCCCAGGUUUAAUUGGAGGUGCUUUGUAAACCUUUGAUGGUUAAGGACACCAGAUUUUGGAGUGAAAUGCUGGUAUCCCAGAAGCUUGAAAGCACAAAAGAAACAGCUUGUGGAAAAUCUGUGAAGUCCAUCUAUUUCUACAAUAGGAUUAUUCAUCACCACAUGUUUUCCCCAUCUGGAAGUAAAGGGACAAAAUGCUGAAACCACCACCGUCUCACUUGCAAAUUGCUCCACAGUCUAACCAGUCAUGCUAUUGAGAAGAUAUGCCUGCAGUUCAACCCAAAUUGUCUGUAAUCAUGUUGCUUCCUUUCCCUUGUUAUCCUGAGUAGUUCCUCCCCACCCAUAUGUUUAACCUCUCUGAAAUAUUUGUGGAUGGCAAUCAGAUCCCUCUGAGUCACUGCUUAGCUAAGCUGUAUGCAUUUUCAGCAUCCUUCUUUUCUUGUGUAAAUCUUCUCAGAUAUUUAACCAUUUUUCUCCACUUUCCUGUGAAAUCCUCAGCAUUCACUGAAGAUGUUAGAAUGAUUGCCCCUGGCUGAACAUGGGAACGGAACAUGAGCCUUACACAGAUGGUCCCCUUAGUGGCCUGGGUUCAAGUGCAGUGGGUUGAGGUGCUCAAACACUCCCUUACCACGCUUGGAACUCCUGCUCUAUAAAUCAGGGCUAUACAGUCUGGGGAGUACUGGAACUGUACAGCUGGGGGAAAGUCCCAGCUUUGCUCCACCUGGACUGUGGCCACAAUGGAAAAUUUUCUGGUUAAAGUCAAUUAUUUUGCUGCCGAAAGGUAAGGCUUCUACAGCGGCCUGUGUGUGGCUGAGGCUAUGCUACGAACAGUUCUUAGCUACAAAGAGAGGUAAAGUUCUCACUCUGUACAGCCAUGUCCACACUCUUACUAGCUGCAGCAUAGUCCAACUUAAUCACAUGGAGCAGUGCAAACAGUGUGAAGGAAUACCAUCUUCCAGAUUUCAGAGGUAAAACCAAUGCUUAGAUUAUUGGAUUGACCAAGCAUGAUAAUUAGACACACGGAGUUUUCUAAUUUUCCACUUAUUUACCACUGCAAUUUGGAAAAACAGUUGGGAAAUGUGAAACAUUCCAUGGGAUGGGAUGUUUGUAGUAUCUUUCCUCAGAAGAACGUGUGUAACAUGGUGUGUUUUAAUAAAUACUGCAGUCAGGGAACUGACUCUUGGCCAAAGCAGGAGCCUGGGAAGACAGAAAUAUUUGCAGCUGGUCAGUGCUUUCCACCUCUCCCUUCCCACUGAGGCCAGCGACCAAAAAGCCAUCCAUCCUGAGUGCUAAGGCACGCUGGCCUCCCUGCCUACUUUCUAUCAACAGUUUUGACAGGUCCUCACUGAUUGUUGUUAUGAAAUCAAAUCUAUAUUUACAGCCAGAAAAUGCCUGUCAAAAUAUAUCUUUAACAACCUGAAAUUUAAUUCUUCAGCUGUCUCUAUAGUAGGCAUGUCCAUUACAGGAAAUCUUUCCUUCCUCUUUCCAUUAAAAUAUUUUCAAUUUGGCAUGCCAAAAAAGCUGUAUCUCAAAGAGGAAAUAAAAAAAUAGUCUUUAGUAGAGCAAGAAGAUUUACAAAAUCAUUUAUUACCUUUGGUUUCCAAACUAAUCUUAGAGUGAGAGAGAGUAGUGCUAAAAUGCCUAAGCAAAGUGGGGAGUUUAUAGGACCACAUAACCUACUCAGUCUUAAAUAAUAGUAGCAGUAAUAAUAGCAGUAAUAAUAAUAGUAGCAAUAAUAAUAAUAGUAAUAAUAAUAAUAAUGGUAAUAAAAUAGAUGAGCUAAGUGAUUUGAUAUCUGAGCUUAUUAUCUGACAAGUGAUUGAAACUACAUAAGAGGAAAAGGACUCUAUGAAAAAUUAAAACUGGCAACACUGGUAAGACUGUGUGUCAGGAGAAGUAAUUGCAGGAAACUUCUGCAGUGCACAUUAAGACCACCCAGCUCCUCUGUGCUGGCAAGGUAGCAGAAUCUGAUAAGCUACUUGAAGAACACAUUACUGAAAAUCAGCAUAUCUAUAUAAUUGGCCUACAUUUCAUAGAGUUCAUAGCUCUCAUAAGAAGAGCUAAUGUCUCUCGUGUUUCUGUUUUGUUUAUAUCAGGAACUGCAGCCAAGUUCUUGCUUCUAGCUUUGCUUAGAGUUUCUCAUGGAUCUGGGGAGAGUGUCCUGCCAGUGACAGAUUGAGACUGAGUGUAAUUGGGGAUGCAGGAAGGUGAGGGAAAGAGGCAAUAUCCCAGGGUCAUGGGAUCAAUGCUUGUAAAUGGGAAGAGGGGAAGUCAUAGAAUCAUUGAAUCAUAGAAUCACUAAGGUUGGAAAAGACCCACAGGAUCAUCCAGUCCAACCAUUCACCCAUCACCAAUGGUUCUCGCUAAACCAUGUCCCUCAACACAACAUCCAAACGCUCUUUGAAUACCACCAGGCUCGGUGACUCCACCACCUCUCUGGGCAGCCCAUUCCAGUGCCUGACCACUCUUUCAGAGUAGUAGUAUUUCCUAACGUCCAGCCUGAACCUUCCCUGGUGCAGCUUGAAGCCAUUCCCUCUAGUGCUACCACUAGUCACCCGAGAGAAGAGGCUGACCCCCAGCUCACCACAACCUCCCUUCAGGUAGUUAUAGAGAGCAAUAAGGUCUCCCCUGAGCCUCCUCUUCUCUAGACUGAACAAUCCCAGCUCCUUCAGCCGCUCUUCAUAAGGCCUGUGCUCCAGACCCCUCACCAGCUUUGUUGCCCUCGUCUGGACACGCUCCAGAGCCUCAAUGUCUUUCUUACAGUGAGGGACCCAAAACUGGACACAGUACUUGAGGUGUGGCCUCACCAGUGCUGAGUACAGGGGGACAAUUACUUCCCUGUUCCUGCUGGCCACACUAUUUUUGAUACAAGCCAGGAUGCCAUUGGCUUUCUUGGCCACCUGGGCACACUGCUGGCUCAUGUUCAGUCUAGCGUCAAUCAACAUCCGUAGGUCCAUUUCCUCUACACAGUCUUCCAGCCACUCUGCCCCAAGCCUGUAGCGUUGCCUGGGGUUAUUGUGGCCAAAGUGCAGGACCCGGCAUUUGGUCUUGUUGAAUCCCAUCCCAUUGGCUUCAGCCCAGCUAUCCAGCCUAUGCCCAGCUAUCCAGCCUAGACAGGCUCCUGUCUAUUUCCUUUAUCAUGAUUCAAUAGAAUGAAUAUUUUUCUUUGGUGGUACAUAAUGAACACUAAAUUAAUGAACUACAUUGUAGCUGCAGCAUUUUAUUUAUUUAUGUACAGGUUAGUUUUCAUAUCUCUUUCCCUAUAUACCUUCCAAUAGAGUCAUAGCAUCAUUUAGGUUGGAUAAGACUCUUAAGAUCAUCAAGUCCAACCACCAACCUAUCACUACUGACUGAACCACUGAACCAUAUCCCUAAGCACCACAUCCAUGUAUCUUACAUAACUCCAGGGAUGAGGAUUCCACCAUUUCCCUGAGCAACCUAUUCUGUGCCUGAAAAAUUAUUCCUGAUUUCCAGCCUAAAUCUCCUUUGGCACAACAUGAAGCUCUCUCUUCACGUCAUCUCACUUGUCACUUGAAAAAACAGGGUAACACCUUACUCCUUUCAUUUAACUGUAGAGAGUGAUGAGGUCUCCCCUCAGCCUCCUUUUCUCCAUACUAAAUAGCUCCAGUUUUCGCAUGCACACCUGCUAACUCUUAUUUUCUUGUUCUUUCACCAGCUCUGUUGCUGUGUUUUGCACAUGUUCAACAAACUCAGCUUCCUUCUUGCGGUGAGGAGUACUCAAGAUGUGGUCUUAUCAGUGUCAAGCACUGAGGGACAAGCAGAACAAUUCAAAGGCUAUGACUAUCCUUGAGACCUUGUAGCACCUGCACCUACAGAAACUGUCCACAGAGGCCUUACCGGACCAUGUUUUAUUGUCAUUGUUUCUGGGCAAAGGUUUUAUAAUGCAGCAGUGGAGUCCAUCUUGCUGAAGCAAUGGAGACAGAUAGUGAUGGAGCUGCCAGAACAACCUGUAAAUUAUCUGCCCUAAAAUCCUCAAAGAGCACUUUGUGCUGAAAAGAAGGCUGUUCAAGGCAGGAGGGGAAGAAUUUGAUCUUGCCUACAUUUGUUGUACAGGAACAGAAAGGAGGAGUGCUUUAUUCAUCAAGUGAACACAGCACUUUAAAAAUUCAACUAAGUCAAUAUAGGAAUACGUUUAAAAUGUAUUCACCUUCAGAGAGAGAUUUCCUGGACUGACAGAACUGCCAAUGGGUAUGAGUUAUUGCUUAGCAAAAGUUGCUGCAAAGGAUGCUGUACCCAUCACCUCUGUGAAGGGGUCUUAUGUGGAACAAGCUGCUAAGAAAGUUAUGGCCAACAGAAGUUCUGCCUUUGACUGGUGCUUUGGUAACUACCUGUGGGGAUAGUCUGCUGUUAUUCUAUUUUUCUUCCUUCUUUGUCAGAGAAAAUGGCAGUCUGGUGACAGUGUUCUUGAGAAUAGCAACUUCAUUCUACCAGGUUCUGCUGGUAGAGUAGAAGUGGAAAGUCCUGCCUGAGAACGUGCAUUGUAGAAGCACUGCUACCAAAGCUGGCAGCUCUGCCAAAACCCAGAACAUGAGUGCUUUGGGGAUGCCCUGGUAGGAACUUAGGUCAGUGCUGGCCUUGGGCCAUCCAGAGUAAGAUGUGAACUGCCUGGACUACGGCAUUACUGGGCAGAAAGAGUGUCUGAUCCCUUCAUGAUUUCAACUUCAGAUUUGCACACCUUAUAUUUACCUCUGAGUACUUUGUAGCACAUUUUGAUAUUUAUGCUUUGACUUUAAUUCAGAAAGAAUCUGGAGAGGAAUAAGAGAGAGGCUAAAAAUGUGCAAGACAAAAAAUACAUGUGUGAUUUCUGAAAUCUGACAGUGUUUAGGAGGGGAAAUAGAAGCUACACUGCUGAUUAUUUUACUUUAUUCUCCCAAUUGAAUGUGAUUUUUUUUGUUUUGUUAUUUUUUAUUUUUCUUUCUAUGCUAUGUAUGGAUGAUACCAGGCCAGUUCCUACCCAAAGGCUUGCUUAAGUGCUUUCAAUCUUACUUGCUUACUUUGCAUCUACAGUAACAAGGAUUCAGUUGUGAGUAAGCCUCAGCAUUUUACUUUAGUUCAAAUGAUUUCUAACUGGAAUAUCAGUGAAUCUUUACCUUCAGGUCAUCCGUGCUCUUUUGUAAGAAUGAAUUUCAGUAGCUUAAAAAUGCUCAGAGUUCGUGAAUGACAGUGAUAACUCACUGCUAUGAAACUUCCUGUAAGUGUGCACCCAUCUCCCUAAAUAAGUAGAAAUGGGUUUCAAAUAACAGGCUCUUCUGUUUAUAAGAGUGGUAAUUAGAAGUGCAUUAAGGAAACCCUCAUUUCAGAAGCAGGCGUAUGAUAUCUAUGAAGUUUCCUGCUUUUUUCCUUUUCUAUAUAUGUUUGAGGCUCCUGAUUGUCUAAUGAGAUUAGGGUAAAUUUGAAAUUAAUUGUAUCUUGUAUAUGUUUUUGAAAUAACAGGCAUAAAGCUACAUUAACUUGUUUCCAUUUGUGAAAGCAGCCUGUUUUCCUUGGUACGUAAGUAACUUCAUGGUUACUAAAGUCUUACUUAUACCCUUUGAAUUGUAUGAGCAAACCUUUCUCUAUUUUAUGUGUUCAUGAAGAUAUUGAAGAAAUAUCAGCAGCUUUGUAUGCAAGUAGACGAGUGAAGUUGGCAUUUAAACUCUUGAAAAUUACAUAACAGCUACUAGUGUUAAGAAAUUAUAGAUAUGAUGAAGGAAGAGCUGUGAAUUUACAUUUAGAAAUUAACCCAGCUGGGUUUUGUAUGUGAGUGAAAGGUGAAGGAGAGAUAUUUUUAAAAGCUAUUAUUAUGCAUCAGCAAGGUGUGUGUCAUUAACGAAUUAUUUUGAGAAUGCCUUACUAAGACAGUGGUGGUAAUUAGUCUUUAGAUUUGUAGAAGGAAUGUGAUAUUCCUUUUAAUUGGGAAAGUUUUCCUGCCUCUGGGCACGCGCCCUGAAGUGGAGAGGGGGGGAGAGUAGAGGAGAAGGGAAAGUAGGAGGGGAGUGGAGGGAAGAGGUGAGGAAGGAAGGAGACUCAGUGGACUUUAAGAAUUGUCCAUCCUUUUCCAAAAUAGUCAGCAGUGCUACUGAAAAGCCUUCCUUCUGAAUGAUAUUAUCCUAUCCUAACAUUACUUUGAAGUUUUCUACCCCUAGAUGAAUUCUACAUUCAUUAAUGUCAGCAAGCCUUUUUUUUUCUGGACUAUUGAGGCCAUCUUUCCUGCAAAUGACCUUAACAGCUGCAAAGAGAAAAGAUAUGAUAACAUUACAUUAAAACACACACUAUGGUAGUUCUCUGAAAAUUUGGAGAUUUUGUUAGGUUUCUGGCUGAGUUUAUGAAUUUACUGUAUGCAAAGCUGCAAUGGAUUUUUCAGUUCCCUCCACUAGUUCCCCCAAGCCUCAGGUUACGAGAGAAAAGCCAAAAAUGCAGGGCAAUGUCAAUUAUAGGAUAGCUAGAGGCAUUAUGUUCCCCUCUCCCAAGCUGUUCUCAGCAGUGACUUAUUGCCACACUUCAGAGAACAAAUUAAGAUGCUCUGCAGUGAUGGAUCCCAAAAACUUGUUUGUCCUGAGAGCCAAGGAAGAGAAAAAGGUGUGGCAAACAGUGAAUGCACCAGAACACAUGAAGCUAAGGGGAUGUGGAAAUAUAAUGUUGAAAUACCCAGUCUAUCUUUCCUUCUCUGCCCUAACCUACAGGAAAAACAAAAUCAGUUAUGUGUUUUGACUUUCUGUGAAAUAGAGGGAGCAUUAGACCUUCUGCAUUCAAGGAGGGAACCAUGGACAUAAGAAUAGCUGCUUAUCUUCAUUUGUGGUCUUGGAGAUGAAUAAGGAAUGAGUGACAAUUUGUAUUCACUACUGAGUACAUAACACAACUGUUCGAGAGAAGAUGCAGGUCUCCAAAAUCUACCAGCUGCCAUGCACUGGGCUAGUUUGGCAACGUCCAUCUUACCACUCGUGAAAGUAGGCCUUCGCAUAUUUGUGUAAUUCAGCAAAGGAUGUGGUCAAAUUAUUGCCUUUGUCUCUUUUUAUUCUGAAUUACCUCCAGAACUAAGGUCAAAUAAGGAAAAACUAUCCCACAGCAAAAGAGAGAAGUAAAGAGACAUACUGGUUAGCUUCUCACUGUCUGCUAAACUGCAUGAAGUCUACUUGAAAUCUCUGAUCUACACUAACAUACCAACUUAAAAAAAAAUCCACAAAUGCUAUACCCUGCAACUAGAAAAGUAGGCAGCUGGGUUAAACUUGUAAAUAGUGAGUCAGGCUCCUCAGAUUCUGGGGAAGACUGAAGAUGAGAGGAAGCAGAGUAACUGCUGGCCCUUUGGUAUGGAACACAGGCAAAGUCAGGGGACAACAAUGGCAAAAGUUCCCUGGUCUAUGGGGUAUUUGGGACGUGAAUCCCCUUCCUGAGGGUGAAAGUGGUGCCUGAAAGAGUCAUGUACAGAGGUCAGUGCGUUAGGCUGGUGAGUGUCCAGGAGGAAACACUCCUGGAGGACAGCAAUACAAUAAGUUUAAGAAAAAAAAAGGCCAGAACAUAAAUUCUUGCCACCCUUUAAAAUUUAACAAUAUUAAGCAUAAUCAUUUGGCAGUUCACUUAAUCUCAGUGGCAAAAAUAACUGGUUAUACGUUAUUAUUGAAGAUUAAAAUCUUAAAUCUUCCAUCAAGGCGGGGAGGGAGCAGGAGGUGCUAGAUAUGACUUUUGUCAUAUCAGGACCCUAAUGAAUUCUGCAAAAAAAGAAUUCUUAUGAAAUAUCCUUUCCAUUCAGCUAUUAUCUUUGGCUGUAGCAAUUACUCAUUUGCUCUAAACUGAAAUCCAACAACAUGAAGCACAGCUAUUCUCUUUCAAACUAAAAUCAGUAUUGGCAGGAUGACUGAAACUAUUUGCUUCCAUUAAAGGCAAAAUAUGUCCUAAGUGGUCACAAGUGUGCCAUCUUCCUCAGCUGUCAGUGCCUAAUUUGAAAUAUUUAAUUUAAAACAUUUUUAAAGCAGGCUGGUUGUCUCUGUUGCUCUGAGCUUACAUCUCCUACAUUCUAUUUCCAAUACCUGCCCCCACAUCCAUUGGCUGCUUCUGAUGUGCUAACGCAUUUAGAAAUGUGACUUUCCUCAUCUAUGCUAGACAAAAAGUCUAAUGCAAGAUCAUGUUGGUGAGUUCAUUCUAGAACACCAUCUUCUCUGGCCUUUUGUUAUGGGAGAAGCAACAGGAAGGAAACUGAGCUCCAACUACUGCUCCAGUAUGGUCAGCAAGAUGCACAGGAGGGAAAUUCUGUAUCCAGCUUGUGGAAGGUAUGGCAUGCCUCUUUCAGAUCCUCCUCAGAAGGGCAUCUACAUCACAGUAGUGCGGCCAAAGAUGUGGUGGAGAAGCCAUGAGAGAGGAGUCCCAGAGAGAACCUCAUAAUCCAUAGAAUCAUAGAAUCAUUAACAUUGGAAAAGACCUCUACGGUAAUCUAGUCCAACCACCAAUCUGUCCCCACCAUGCCCACUAACCACCUCCCUAAGUGCCACAUCUACACCUUUUAUUAACACCUCCAGGGACUCCACCACUUCCCCAGGCAGCCUGUUCCAAUGCAUUAACACUCUUUUGGAGAAUAAUUUUUUCCUAAUAUUGAACCUGAACUUCCCCUGGCACAACUUAAAGCCAUUACUUCUUGUCCUAUCACUAACUACAUGGGAGAAGAGGCCAACCCCCAUCUUGCCACAGACUCCUUUCAGGCAGUUGUAGAGGGCAAUAAGGUCUCCCCUGAGCCUCCUCUUCUCCAGACCAAACAAUUCCAUUUCCCUCAGCUCACCCCAAGACCUGUGCUUCAGAUCCUGGAUUAAUCUUCUGUGCACUUGAAUAAAAAUGUAGUUUCUACUGAAAGACAAAACUUUUCAUGCAAAGAGAGGACAAUUCUGUUUAAAAACAACAGUAAGUACAUCAGAGACAUUGUAUUCAUCCUACAUUCUGAAAAAAAAAUGCCAAUAAUAAAGCUCUAUCUAGAGAACUGUGGAAGGAAAAAGAUUUUUUGAUAUCUUUUUUUCUAAACAAUUAAAGCUGAAGCAUUCAGCAUUUUGGAUCCAGUGUAAAUCCUCGCAUUCCUGGGCAAUAUAUAUACAUAUUUUCUGUCAGCAAAUCCUUAGUUUCCACAUUAGUUAAUGUUCCACCUGCUGUAUAAACCCAGAGAAGCUGUCUCUUGCAACUGUAGUGUUCUCUUCUGGCAGUCCUUUUUUCUUCCUUUUUCUUCUGUCAAAUAUGCAGAAAAUACCUUUGAAAAUGUACACAGUGUUCACAGUAAAUGGAAAUAACACAGAUGCACGCGUGUACAUUUAUGGAAGUGUAAUAAUUCUGAGAACAGUACAGAGAGCUCAGUUAACAGACUACAGUAAACGAUGCCAGGUUACCUAAACCUCAUAGUCCCAAAAGGAAGGAUUUUAGACAGCUUGCUGAUGUUCACAGUGUCAUGACGUAUGUCAGCACCAAGCCCACGUAACGGGUUUAAAUGAUCUAUUGACCUCCAACGGAUAUUAUGAACAUGGGUAUCAUCCUUCAUUGUUAAUAAAAAGGGAACCAACUGAGACAUUUUGAUUCUUGUUUGUCCUGCUUCACCGUUAUUCAGACCCUUCCAUAUUGGAAAAGCAUGAAGAGACAGCAAGCAGUUUCAAUUCAGUGUUUCUGAACUGGGGAUCCAUUGUGAUAGGAAAGAUUUAAAGUUAAAGUGAGAUGAAAGAUGUGGCCCAAAUGAGCAAAAGUGGUUGGUGGCAGGAAAUUCGCUGAUGCUAAUUUGUACUGCUUAGAAUAUUUUCUCCAAACUGCUAGGUGGGAGGGUAGCUAGUUGAUCCCUCCAGAAAGCCCAGGAAAAGCCCAUGCUGUUUCCAUAGCCUCUCUGUGAAGCCUGCUCCAGAGUUCUGCCAACCUCAAAGUAAAGAUUUUUCUCAUGUUCUUAUGGAACUUUCUAUGCUCCAGUCUGUGCCUGUUGCCCUUUGUCCUGUCACUGGGUACCACUGAAAAGAGCCUGGCUCUUUAACUCCCGCCCUUUAGAUAUUUAUAAGAGUUCUAAGAUUUCCUCUCACUCUUCUCCAGGCUGAACAACCUCUGGUCUUUUAGUCUUUCCUUAUAAAGGAGAUUCUCCAUGCCCGUAGCCACCUUUUAGGCUUUCCUCUGGACUCUUUCCAGUAGUUCCUCAUCUUUCUUGAACUGAGGAGCCCAGAACUGGACACAGUACUCCAAGUGAGGCCUCACCAGGGCAGAGCAGAGGGGGAGGAUCACCUCCCUUGAUCUGCUGGCUAUGCUCUUUCUAAUGCACCCCAAGAUACUGUUGGCCUUGUUGGCCAUAAGGGCACACUGCUGGCUCAUGGCCAUCCUGCUGUCCACCAGAACACCCAAGUCCUUCUCCACAGAGCUCCUCUCCAGCAAGUCAGCCCCUAACCUGUACUGAUGCAUAUGGUUCUUCUUUCACAGGUGGAGGACUCUGCCCUUGCCCUUGUUGAACUUCAUCAGGUUCCUCUCCUCCCAGCUCUCCAGUCUGUCCAGAUCUUGCAGAAGGGCAGAGCAUCCUUCUGGUGUGUCAGCCAUUCCUCCCAGCUUUGUAUCAGUUUCACACUGAUAAAAGGGUCAAUGUACACUAGCUAUUCUUAGCCACUUUUUCAUAAUUUGCAUUUAAAAAGCUAUCACAUAUCUUUUAAUUCCCUUGUUAUACACCUGUAAAUUCUCACUGUAUGUUUUGCUGAUAUUUAUCACCAAUGAAAGUUCAUUCACCCCAGAUCCCUCAUUUAGGAAAGGAAUAUAUGGGGGUAUUGUCUGAGCUCUAUCUUUCUUAAUGCC
ensembl:lncRNA